rnacentral:rRNA from 1 species
CCUACGGGGGGCAGCAGUGGGGAAUAUUGCGCAAUGGGCGAAAGCCUGACGCAGCGACGCCGCGUGAGGGAUGAAGGUCUUCGGAUCGUAAACCUCUGUCAGCAGGGCAGAACGGUCACUGUGCUAAUCAGCAGUGAAUUGACGGUACCUGCAAAGGAAGCACCGGCUACCUCCGUGCCAGCAGCCGCGGUAAUACGGAGGGUGCGAGCGUUAAUCGGAAUUACUGGGCGUAAAGCGCUCGUAGGCGGUAUGUCAAGUCAAGGGUGAAAUCCCCGCGCUCAACGUGGGAACUGCAUUUGAAACUGGCAAACUGGAGUGUGUGAGAGGAUAGUGGAAUUCCAGGUGUAGGAGUGAAAGCCGUAUAUAUCUGGAGGAACAUCAGUGGCGAAGGCGACUAUCUGGCACAUAACUGACGCUGAGGAGCGAAAGCGUGGGUAGCAAACAGGAUGAGAUACCCCGGUAGUC